GACGAACGCUGGCGGCGUGCCUAAUACAUGCAAGUUGAGCGCUGAAGGUUGGUACUUGUACCAACUGGAUGAGCAGCGAACGGGUGAGUAACGCGUGGGGAAUCUGCCUUUGAGCGGGGGACAACAUUUGGAAACGAAUGCUAAUACCGCAUAAAAACUUUAAACACAAGUUUUAAGUUUGAAAGAUGCAAUUGCAUCACUCAAAGAUGAUCCCGCGUUGUAUUAGCUAGUUGGUGAGGUAAAGGCUCACCAAGGCGAUGAUACAUAGCCGACCUGAGAGGGGGAUCGGCCACAUUGGGACUGAGACACGGCCAAAACUCCUACGGGAGGCAGCAGUAGGGAAUCUUCGGCAAUGGACGAAAGGCGGACCGAGCAACGCCGGGUGAGUGAAGAAGGUUUUCGGAUCGUAAAACUCUGUUGGUAGAGAAGAACGUUGGUGAGAGUGGAAAGCUCAUCAAGUGACGGUAACUACCCAGAAAGGGACGGCUAACUACGUG
rnacentral:rRNA from 1 species